rnacentral:lncRNA from 1 species
CAGACAGAGUAAGAGGCAACCAUACAAACACAAGUCUACACCUGAAUAGGCCGCAUGGACCACCUCCGGCCAGCUAUGUAGCCUGGAGCCAUGCCUUGCUUCUGCUGUAGCUUUCCCUGUGAAAUUAGCCGACUAGUGGGUUCCCAGGAAGGAGCUAGGUGAGGUGCCUGACACCUGGCAGGAUUUUGCCCAGUGGUCCUGGCCUACACUGAAGCAAGGUGAUGGGGGAAAGGCUGGCCUCUGGGGAGGGGCACCUCUGUCAAUGAGGCCAGGCCAUGAGUGUCACCUUGAGGCAGGAGGCACCUGGAGGCUGGGAAGUCUGGCAGCCAUGGCAGGUAAGAGUGGCCUGUCACACAUGGCAGGAUGUGGAGAGAGAACUUCAAGGCUCUGGAGACCACCUGGCCCAGCCUGGUCCAACAGGCUGGCGUAUGACACAGAUCUCCAGCUUCUGGACUUUGCCCUGAACAUCCAUAAAAGGAGGCUGGUCAUGGUGGCUGCUUGUACUCUCCUGUGUUGUAACCUUCUGUGACAGCUGACUUGGGGACUGCUGGAUUCUUGACCUCACACUAUCUUAUUUUCAAUCUCGGCUUGUACUUUCGGUUUGUUGUUACUGUUGUUAAAAUAAGAGAGGGAAAAACAAGCAAACAAACACACGUUCCCCUGGCAACAGGAGAAGCGUGGGGCCAUGGAGCAGCCUGGGAGUUCAAGGUUCCCUGGGAGACCUCUUGGGAGUCCUGCUCUGCUUCUAGCUGUGGUGUGACCUUGAGCAAGAGAGUUAGCUAAUGUCCCUGAGCCCCUACAGGCCUCACCUCCAACACAGCAGGGCUGGUGGGAGCCUGUCCAUUGAACUGCUGGAGGACCAAGAAGACACAGCCAGAGCCUGAACACAAGCUGCUGCCCCACUCUAGCAUCCCACAUGUUUAGUCACAGGAGUUCAAAGCCCAGUCACAUGACCCCAUGAGCUGGAUCGACAGGUUCCCACUCUCUGGCCCCUCAACACUGUAGCUAGGAGGUGACAAGCUUUAGCCUAUCACCUUGCAUCACCCACAAAAUUUCUCUUCUCAUUGAGACUCUUAAACAAGCUCCUAGAUAAAGCACUGUCCCCAUUGAGCAGAUGAAAAAACUGAGGCUCAGAGGUUCAGUGACUUGCCUAAAACCAAUCCAGUAAAUAACCAGCACUCUUUCCUUACCUCAUGCUAAGCAACACCUUAGUGGAGGCUACCCACCCAAUCUUCCUCACCAGACUUCCUCACUAGACCCUUUUUGUCCUGACCCAGCUCCCAAGAUGUGACUCUUGGCUUCCUGUCAGGGAAGGAGACCAGAUCCUCUGGUCCUGGCCAGGAUCUCCCUUCAAUCCCUUUAAUUUAGCCGAUGUGGCUUAGAUAGGUUUCCCUUCUUGCAUUUUGCUCUGAAGCCCAAGAGGCAUCACUGGAGGGCCACUGACUGAACAAGAGGCUGCCUCGUAAGAAGUACCAGACGGGAAGCUGAGCUAUGGCCCCUGAGCUCCCAGCCUUCUGCAGCUCUCACACUCAGAUGCACUGUGCUAGGGACACCCCAGACAUCCUACCUCGGUCUCCAUCUCCCAGUGAAGAGCCUGAGGCCCAGGUGUUGUGAAUGUUGAGGUGUAUGCUGGGGCUGGGGCUGGGGCUGGGGCUGGCUAAAGUGGCCAGUGCUCUGGGUGGCUUCAGACCCUUAAGAAUGGGGGUGACGCGUUCACAUUUGUCCAUCACACUGGGAUGUGCAAACUGCUAGGCUUGGCCUCAAACGUCCAGCCCAGGACUCUGCUCCAUCUCAACCUAACUGUAGCUUAAGUGGAAAAUCAGAUAAGACGCUGUAAGUCUGAGGGACGCUUAAGAGACUCGAGGAUCAGCUAUUCAGAAGUCGCAGACUCUGGGGCCUCAUGUCAGGACCUAGACUCCCAGGAGACGUCUCAGGAAGCAGGUUUUAAGAACCUCUCCUCACCCCAGUAAACCAGGUCACAGCGUAGAUUCUGAAUUGAGAGAGGCUUAAUUGUAGUCUCACUACUCAGAGCUGUGUGACCUUUGGCACACAGCUUGCCUGCUCUGGGCCUUAGUGCUCUCUGUAAAGUGGACUAUCACGGAUGUCCAGGAAGAAGCCAGUCCUGAAUUGCUGACACUCUAGGAGAUCCCUUGGUUCCUUGAGAGGUGGAACAGGCCUGGGGUUCCUGUAGACGGGCCCAGAAAGGUCAUGGUCACUAAGUCCUUGGAAUGGAGUCUGGCAAAGAGCAGCAUGAGGGACAAAGGGAAUGUGCUCGCUGCCCAACCCCUUAAUCCAGCCCCUAAACCUAAGCAGGACGAUGCGGGCUCAGGAGGGAGGCAGGCAGCACUUGCCCUGCUCACACAGGGAUAGUGGCCUAGCUCUGGUGUGCCCUCAAGACUCUGACUCUGCAGCCCAAGGUCCUGCACACUUUAUGAUGGGGAGUCAGGAUGGCAGGGGUAAGCGGCCCCUGAGCCCCUAGACUCUGAGCAGAUGGGAAAGGUGCCCAGUAUCUUCAGGGGCAAUGGCACAGCCCUGCCUGCCCUGCCCCCAACACAUUACACACAGGGCUUGCUAAAACCCCAGCAUAAGGCUCAGAGGUGAAAGGCUCAGGGGCCCAAAGGCAGUGAACCCCAAGUGACUUCCAUCCUGAGCCCCUGGAGUCUACCAAGACCCCACCAUGGGCUAGCCUCAAGCUGGACACAGGACACAGAUGGGUGGAACCCUCCUUGCCCCCAGGAGCUCACAAGACAAUGAACCAUUAAGUAACAGGCUGUGCCUUUGUCCCAGCAGCCCUGUUCCCUCUGAGGGACAGCUGGCUGUGGAAACACAGUCUACAGUACUAACUGACCACAGGUGGAGCAUCUGCAGUUAUCCUUGGUGGAGACACGUGCUGCCCCCCCUCCCAUGACACAGCUGGCAGACUGUACCCCAAGGGCUGAUCCAGACCCCCUGUGCUAACAGCCAUGCUUCAUGGCCAGCAGAAACUGUUUUUUCACAAUAAGAUAAUCCAACCAAGGCCAAGUCUAGCUAGGGCUGUAGCCCUGGCACAAAACCUAACCAGCAGUGGAUGAUACAACGGAUACUGAAGGCUGGGGAGGAGACUCACCCACCCAUGCAUAUGGCUGGCAAACUCGCUGGGCCAGGGUUCCUAAGACAGAAACCGGGUGUGGGCCCUGAGUGGGUGAUUAGGGGGAGGGAGGGGACUGUAAUCAGGGAUCCCACAUGGCAACAGCCAGCAGGCUCAGGCAGCUCCACUGUCCCCUCCCCAGGCUGAGCUUAGGUGGGAGGGGAGGUACAGCUGCAAGGCCACUUCUUGCAGGCAGCCCUCCCAGAUCCCUCCGGCGCAGCCCUGCCACCUCCACAAGGGUUCAGAUAGGCUCAAACCUGCUCCUUUUGCACUUCCCAAAUGCUGUCUGUUUAAAAAACAAAACAAAAAGAAACAAAAGCAAACAAACAAACAAACCUCAACAGGUUCUCAUGAUCUGAGCCCUGCUAUCUUCAAACUUACUCUGUAGCCAGGGAUGACCUUGAACUUGAUCCUUCAUCUUCUGUGUGCUGGGAUUUCAGGCUGGUGCUACCACACCUGGCAUCCCUGGUGUUAGAGACCCUACCAAGACUCUGUGCACACUAUGCCACAACUGAGCCACAGCCCCAGCCCCCAUGACUUACUUUCCUGAGUCUCUGCUUCCACCCCUGGAAAUGGCCCUGAUUACCUGCUUCCCCUCCCUUUAAGAGGUGUUUGGCCUGUUGGGUGGGGACACAGCAUCACACACAGGGAGCUGGGGUGAAGGCAGAUGUACUACUUAGAGAGGAUCUUCCUGACAUCUAGCUCCAAGCACUAGCCCAGGUUGGGAGAAGAGGAGAGGAUGAAGCCCGCUCACCUCCCCCUACCCCCUGAAGCUAGUGCACACCUGCCUAUGGUCCUUUGAGCCUCCUCCACUCCUUGCCUCUGGGGCCACCUCCCUGGCAACCCCAAACAAGCCUGUGAACGCGUGGGUCAACAGCCACCUCACCCAGCACAUACCUCAGACACCAGCCACGUCAGUUCUCUGUGGGGUGGGCACCAGGCGGUGGCCCUAGACAUCUGAGACCUGGGUGAGGGCUGUAUCCCCUCCCCCAGCUGCCAGCAAGCAGUGACAACUGACACAGCACAAGCAAUCAGCUGUUAAGGCACAAACACAUCCUCUGAGGAAGCUAGAGCUUUCUGCACUUCCCCACUGGGACCCCCUAGGGCUUCUGGGCUCUGUGGGAUGGCUGAGGUGCUAAGGCCACGAGACUUAGCAAGGGUGGCUGUAGG